CUGAUCCUCUGCGUGAUCCUCACUGCUCUCAAACUCUACUGCCUCAUCUGGACCCUGGUGAGAGCUGCAACUUCUCCAUACAACCCUUUCCUCAACCAGCCAUCCACUCCACACCUGGAAAAGCCUACCUUGGUUCUGGACCUGAUCAACGUGGUCUGACUACCACAGACGUGGGGUAAAAGGCAUGAUUCCACGCAGCAUGACUAAGGGAAUAGCAUCCUCAGUGGCCUGCAGCAAACAGCCACUUCUCAUCAGGCCAAAGACUACCUGCUAAAAGCAAAGGAUUCACGUAGUAGGCCCUAAGGACUUGACCACCACACAUCUUGAUCCUUUACCCUUACAUACAGGGAAAUGAAGGGAAUUUUGAUGUGAACAUCUUACUUUAAAACGCAUUCCUUUCCGUUGGC